rnacentral:rRNA from 1 species
UGGGGAAUAUUGCACAAUGGAGGGAACUCUGAUGCAGCGACGCCGCGUGAACGAAGAAGGCUUUCGUGUCGUAAAGUUCUUUUAUAUGGGAAGAUAAUGACGGUACCAUAAGAAAAAGCCCCGGCUAACUAGGUGCCAGCAGCCGCGGUAAUACGUAGGGGGCUAGCGUUGUCCGGAAUCACUGGGCGUAAAGGGUUCGCAGGCGGAAAUGCAAGUCAGGUGUAAAAGGCAGUAGCUUAACUACUGUAAGCAUUUGAAACUGCAUAUCUUGAGAAGAGUAGAGGUAAGUGGAAUUUUUAGUGUAGCGGUGAAAUGCGUAGAUAUUAAAAAGAAUACCGGUGGCGAAGGCGACUUACUGGGCUCAUUCUGACGCUGAGGAACGAAAGCGUGGGUAGCAAAGAGG